rnacentral:snoRNA from 1 species
GCCUUGAUGACUUUGUAGGUUUGAGUAUCAAGCUGAAACAAAACAUUCAUUUCCUCUAAGAAGUUCUGAGCUC